rnacentral:misc_RNA from 1 species
GCCUGUUCGAGCGUCAUUACACCACUCAAGCCUCGCUUGGUAUUGGGCGACGGGGAUCCCCCGCGCCUCAAUCUCAUCGGCUGGUUGACCGAAUCUCUGCGUUGUGGCACACAGAUUCGCUGGCGAGACGGGCCUUCUACGCCGUUAAACCCCCGUCAAAGGUUGACCUCGGAUCAGGUAGGGAUACCCGCUGAACUUAA